GCAUUUACAAUGCAAGUCGAGCGGAGUGAAUGGUGCUUGCACUAUCACUUAGCGGCGGACGGGUGAGUAAUGCUUAGGAAUCUGCCUAUUAGUGGGGGACAACAUCUCGAAAGGGAUGCUAAUACCGCAUACGUCCUACGGGAGAAAGCAGGGGAUCACUUGUGACCUUGCGCUAAUAGAUGAGCCUAAGUCGGAUUAGCUAGUUGGUGGGGUAAAGGCCUACCAAGGCGACGAUCUGUAGCGGGUCUGAGAGGAUGAUCCGCCACACUGGGACUGAGACACGGCCCAGACUCCUACGGGAGGCAGCAGUGGGGAAUAUUGGACAAUGGGGGGAACCCUGAUCCAGCCAUGCCGCGUGUGUGAAGAAGGCCUUAUGGUUGUAAAGCACUUUAAGCGAGGAGGAGGCUCUUUUGGUUAAUACCCAAGAUGAGUGGACGUUACUCGCAGAAUAAGCACCGGCUAACUCUGUGCCAGCAGCCGCGGUAAUACAGAGGGUGCAAGCGUUAAUCGGAUUUACUGGGCGUAAAGCGCGCGUAGGCGGCCAAUUAAGUCAAAUGUGAAAUCCCCGAGCUUAACUUGGGAAUUGCAUUCGAUACUGGUUGGCUAGAGUGUGGGAGAGGAUGGUAGAAUUCCAGG
rnacentral:rRNA from 1 species